rnacentral:rRNA from 1 species
GAUGAACGCUGGCGGCGUGCCUAAUACAUGCAAGUCGAGCGAACGGACGAGAAGCUUGCUUUUCUGAUGUUAGCGGCGGACGGGUGAGUAACACGUGGAUAACCUACCUAUAAGACUGGGAUAACUUCGGGAAACCGGAUCUAAUACCGGAUAAUAUUUUGAACCGCAUGGUUCAAAAGUGAAAGACGGUCUUGCUGUCACUUAUAGAUGGAUCCGCGCUGCAUUAGCUAGUUGGUAAGGUAACGGCUUACCAAGGCAACGAUGCAUAGCCGACCUGAGAGGGUGAUCAGCCACACUGGGACUGAGACACGGCCCAGACUCCUACGGGAGGCAGCAGUAGGGAAUCUUCCGCAAUGGGCGCAAGCCUGACGGAGCAACGCCGCGUGAGUGAUGAAGGUCUUCGGAUUGUAAAACUCUGUUAUUAGGGAAGAACACAUGUGUAAGUAACUGUGCACAUCUUGACGGUACCUAAUCAGAAAGCCACGGCUAACUACGUG